rnacentral:rRNA from 1 species
CGGGAAACCGGGGCUAAUACCGGAUAACAUUUUGAACCGCAUGGUUCGAAAUUGAAAGGCGGCUUCGGCUGUCACUUAUGGAUGGACCCGCGUCGCAUUAGCUAGUUGGUGAGGUAACGGCUCACCAAGGCAACGAUGCGUAGCCGACCUGAGAGGGUGAUCGGCCACACUGGGACUGAGACACGGCCCAGACUCCUACGGGAGGCAGCAGUAGGGAAUCUUCCGCAAUGGACGAAAGUCUGACGGAGCAACGCCGCGUGAGUGAUGAAGGCUUUCGGGUCGUAAAACUCUGUUGUUAGGGAAGAACAAGUGCUAGUUGAAUAAGCUGGCACCUUGACGGUACCUAACCAGAAAGCCACGGCUAACUACGUGCCAGCAGCCGCGGUAAUACGUAGGUGGCAAGCGUUAUCCGGAAUUAUUGGGCGUAAAGCGCGCGCAGGUGGUUUCUUAAGUCUGAUGUGAAAGCCCACGGCUCAACCGUGGAGGGUCAUUGGAAACUGGGAGACUUGAGUGCAGAAGAGGAAAGUGGAAUUCCAUGUGUAGCGGUGAAAUGCGUAGAGAUAUGGAGGAACACCAGUGGCGAAGGCGACUUUCUGGUCUGUAACUGACACUGAGGCGCGAAAGCGUGGGGAGCAAACAGGAUUAGAUACCC